rnacentral:rRNA from 1 species
UAGGGAAUCUUCGGCAAUGGACGGAAGUCUGACCGAGCAACGCCGCGUGAGUGAAGAAGGUUUUCGGAUCGUAAAGCUCUGUUGUAAGAGAAGAACGAGUGUGAGAGUGGAAAGUUCACACUGUGACGGUAACUUACCAGAAAGGGACGGCUAACUACGUGCCAGCAGCCGCGGUAAUACGUAGGUCCCGAGCGUUAUCCGGAUUUAUUGGGCGUAAAGCGAGCGCAGACGGUUAGAUAAGUCUGAAGUUAAAGGCUGUGGCUUAACCAUAGUACGCUUUGGAAACUGUUUAACUUGAGUGCAGAAGGGGAGAGUGGAAUUCCAUGUGUAGCGGUGAAAUGCGUAGAUAUAUGGAGGAACACCGGUGGCGAAAGCGGCUCUCUGGUCUGUAACUGACGCUGAGGCUCGAAAGCGUGGGGAGCAAACAGGAUUAGAUACCCUGGUAGUCCACGCCGUAGACGAUGAGUGCUAGGUGUUGGGUCCUUUCCGGGACUCAGUGCCGCAGCUAACGCAUUAAGCACUCCGCCUGGGGAGUACGACCGCAAGGUU